UACGACUGUUUGUUGCUUUGGCUAGAAUCUAUUCAUGUGUUAAAGAAUGCAAUGUGGAUGAAGUGAGAGCAAGCAGCCUUUCUGGUCGUAGUUCAUAAUUUUCCUUUUCGUUUGUUAGUUCAUACUUUUUCUUUAUUAGAUCUUUAGAAUAUAGUGUUGCAUAAGUUACUCCAUUUAUUUCCUGGUCGUCAUCCUCCUUUGCAGAACUGGUUGAUGCCCUCUGGGACAAUUUUUGUUUCAGCAUAUAUACUUCGGUCCGUAUAUGCGUUAUUUACUCCUUGGUGUUUUGACAUGGCGCGGGAUGGUGGCGAACAGUUUCAAGGUGCAGAUGAGCUUCUUCUUUUGUUAUUGAUCCCACCUGGUGAGAUUUGUACAACUCCACUUUGUGGCAUAGGUUUGGUCUAUAUAUACGACAUAUUCAUGGCUUGAUUUGUAAGGUGGAUAUAGGAUUCCUAUUGUUUUACAACUAACAGUGGCAAAACUAUUUAGGAAGGUGUAUAGGAUCCUUGCUAAUCUAUUCAGGUGGGGGAAGACAUUGAAGCAAAACAGCAAAAAAAAAUGUAUAUGCUCUCCCUGGUUGUAUGACAAGGGUGACAAUGAUGACAUGUGGAGCCUUCUGUUCUACAGGAAAACCCAUUGUUUAUUUCCUGAGAAGAAGCUUCUGCCUAUUGUUGCUGAAUAUGUAGACAGUGAAGCAUUGAUCACCAUAAUUUCUAAUAAGCUUCGUGCAGGCUAUGGGAAGGCUCACAAUGUUGCUGCUCUGCCUCUUUGUCCUCU